UGUCCAGCAACUCCCAUCCCUAGCUCCUCGUGGUACUGGCCGGGGUACGAGUAAACUUAGGGAAGAUCGGGUAACCAACUCCGGUGAGAGCUUUGGUCGUAUGCUGACAGGGAAUGGG
rfam:Aedes aegypti strain Liverpool supercont1.262 genomic scaffold, whole genome shotgun sequence.